rnacentral:lncRNA from 1 species
UGGCAAGUUUGCUCAGGGUGUGAGCGACAGUACAUCAACUCCCCGAUCAUCGGCAUUCUUACUUUGACCACACACGACUAAGGGAUUAAGUGUGUGAAGCGAGUGGAUGUAUCAACACUGAAAACAAAUAAUUAAAAAAAAAAUGUGUAGGAGUAGUGACAAUGUUAUAACUUAUUUGGACUUUAAUUCAUUUUUGGUGUGACUAAACAUCUAAAAUCAUCAAUCGAUUGUACAAGAUUUUAAAUCAUUAAGUUGUCUCUGGAAGCUUCUGAGGAAGAUAAGAUGACUGUCACAGAGUUUGGAUGGAGAAGAAGCCUCACUCAGUUGACAUUAUUGAUUAUAAUGAUCAUGACUUCUGCUGCAACAGAUUCAGGAGUUGAAAAUACAGAGCAAAAUAUAACAAGGCCAAAGACUGUUACACAUAAAAUGUUGAAAGUAGAAAAAGACAGAGAAGAAAUGAGCACUUCUACAUUGACCCAUGUGCAAACCUCUGAUGGAGAUGUUCAGUUCGUUGUGCAUGGAGAGCAUAUAAAACAAAAUACUUCGACACUGGCAACCACGGACAAGACAACUGACGCAGAACAUUUGGGUUCAAAUGGAACAAAUCAACACUUUCCUUUUCCAUCCUACAUCAAUACAUUUUCCACUGAGGACAAAAAAGAAAGAUUAGAAUCAGUGACAACAAAGAUAUUUUUUUCAAAUACAACUUUCAAACAAAAUUUAGUUUUCCAAACUCAGUCAACAAACAUUUCAUCUGCCACGAACACGACUGACAAGACAACUGCGACCAUUGCUUUGGCUGCCACCAUGGGGACCACCAGCGUUUCAUCUGCGGUAGCAACGACUGGACGCACCUCAGCCCAAGUCACAAAGACGUCAGAGGCAACCACAGUCCAACUGAGCAGUUCAUCACGAUCAAGCCCUGAGGUUCCCAGCUCUGCUUCGGCUUCCACUACUGGGGGCACCAGUGUUUCAUCUGCGGCAACAACGACAGGACGCAAAUCAGCCCAAGUCACAAAGAGAUCAGAGGCAACCACAGUCCAACAGAGCAGUUCAUCCCCAUCAAGCCCUGAGGUUACCAGCUCUGCUUCAGCUUCUACUACUGGGGGCACCAGCUUUUCAUCUGCGGCAGCAACAACUGGACGCACCUCAGCCCAAGUCACAGAGACGUCAGAGGCAACUACAGUUCAACAGAGCAGUUCAUCACCAUCAAGCCCUGAGGUUACCAGCUCGGUGCCGGUCAGCACUCAGAGGUCUGGCUCGCCCUCCACCCUGAUGACAACUGGCCCGCGAGAGACCACCUCUUCCCCAGUCGCCACGCAGACGACUGGCAAGGCAACUGCAACAACAGGUUUCGUCUCCACAAGUUCAACUUCACAGGUGACCACUGCUUCGGCAGAAUCCACGGCGUCCACCAGUGUUGAAUCUGUGGCAGCAAUAACUGGACGCACCUCAGCCCAAGUCACAGAGACGUCAGUGGCAACCACAGUUCAACUGAACAGUUCAUCACCAUCAAGCCCUGAGGUUACCAGCUCUGCUUCGGCUUCCACUACUGGGGGCACCAGUGUUUCAUCUGCGGCAACAACGACUGGACGCACCUCAGCCCAAGUCACAAAGACGUCAGAGGCAACCACAGUCCAACUGAGCAGUUCAUCACCAUCAAGCCCUGAGGUUACCAACUCUGCUUCUACUACUGGGGGGACCAGCUUUUCAUCUGCGGCAGCAACGACUGGACGCACCUCAGCCCAAGUCACAGAGACGUCAGAGGCAACCACAGUCCAACUGAGCAGUUCAUCACCAUCAAGCCCUGAGGUUCCCAGCUCUGUUUCGGCUUCCACCACUGGGGGCACCAGUGUUUCAUCUGCGGAAACAACGACUGGACGCACCUCAGCCCAAGUCACAAAGACGUCAGAGGCAACCACAGUCCAACUGAGCAGUUCAUCACCAUCAAGCCCUGAGGUUACCAGCUCUGCUUCAGCUUCUACUACUGGGGGCACCAGCUUUUCAUCUGCGGCAGCAACAACUGGACGCACCUCAGCCCAAGUCACAGAGACGUCAGAGGCAACCACAGUUCAACAGAGCAGUUCAUCACCAUCAAGCCCUGAGGUUACCAGCUCGGUGCCGGUCAGCACUCAGAGCUCCGGCUCGCCCUCCACCCUGAUGACAACUGGCCAGCGAGAGACCACCUCUUCCCCAGUCCCCACACAGACGACUGGCAAGGCAACUGCAACAACAGCUUUCGUCUCCACAAGUUCAACAUCACAGGUGACCACUUCUUCAUCUGCAACCAGGGCGUCCACCAGUGUUGAAUCUGCGGCAGCAAUAACUGGACGCACCUCAGCCCAAGUCACAGAGACGUCAGAGGCAACCACAGUCCAACUAAGCAGUUCAUCACCAUCAAGCCCUGAGGUUACCAGCUCUGCUUCAGCUUCUACUACUGGGGGCACCAGCUUUUCAUCUGCGGCAGCAACAACUGGACGCACCUCGGCCCAAGUCACAGAGACGUCAGAGGCAACCACAGUUCAACAGAGCAGUUCAUCACCAUCAAGCCCUGAGGUUACCAGCUCGGUGCCGGUCAGCACUCAGAGCUCCGGCUCGCCCUCCACCCUGAUGACAACUGGCCCGCGAGAGACCACCUCUUCCCCAGUCGCCACGCAGACGACUGGCAAGGCAACUGCAACAACAGGUUUCGUCUCCACAAGUUCAACUUCACAGGUGACCACUGCUUCGGCAGAGUCCACGGCGUCCACAGGUGUUUCAUCUGCGGCAGCAAUAACUGGACGCACCUCAGCCCAAGUCACAGAGACGUCAGAGUCUUCCACAGUCCAACUGAGUAGUUCAUCACCAUCAAGCCCUGAGGUUCCCAGCUCUGCUUCAGCUUCUACUACUGGGGGCACCAGCGUUUCAUCUGCGGCAGGAACGACUGGACGCACCUCAGCCCAAGUCACAGAGACGUCAGAGGCAACCACAGUCCAACUGAACAGUUCAUCACCAUCAAGCCCUGAGGUUACCAGCUCUGCUUCUGCUUCUACUACUGGGGGAACCAGCUUUUCAUCUGCGGCAGCAAUGACUGGGCGCACCUCAGCCCAAGUCACAGAGACGUCAGAGGCAACCACAGUCCAACAGAGCAGUUCAUCCCCAUCAAGUCCUGAGGUUACCAGCUCUGCUUCGGCUUCCACCACUGGGGGCACCGGCGUUACAUCUGUGGCAGCAACGACUGGACGCACCUCAGCCCAAGUCACAGAGACGUCAGAGGCAACCACAGUUCAACAGAGCAGUUCAUCACCAUCAAGCCCUGAGGUUACCAGCUCGGUGCCGGUCAGCACUCAGACCUCUGGCUCGCCCUCCACCCUGAUGACAACUGGCCCGCGAGAGACCACCUCUUCCCCAGUCGCCACUCAGACGACUGGCAAGGCAACUACAACAACAGGUUUCGUCUCCACAAGUUCAACUUCACAGGUGACCACUUCUUACUCUGCAUCCACGGCGUCCACCAGUGUUGAAUCUGCGGCAGCAAUGACUGGGCACACCUCAGCCCAAGUCACAAAGACGUCAGAGGCAACCACAGUCCAACUGAGCAGUUCAUCACCAUCAAGCCCUGAGGUUACCAGCUCUGCUUCAGCUUCUACUACUGGGGGCACCAGCUUUUCAUCUGCGGCAGCAACAACUGGACGCACCUCAGCCCAAGUCACAGAGACGUCAGAGGCAACCACUGUUCAACAGAGCAGUUCAUCACCAUCAAGCCCUGAGGUUACCAGCUCGGUGCCGGUCAGCACUCAGAGCUCUGGCUCGCCCUCCACCCUGAUGACAACUGGCCCGCGAGAGACCACCUCUUCCCCAGUCGCCACUCAGACGACUGGCAAGGCAACUGCAACAACAGGUUUCGUCUCCACAAGUUCAACUUCACAGGUGACCACUUCUUCAUCUGCAUCCACGGCGUCCACCAGUGUUGAAUCUGCGGCAGCAAUAACUGGACGCACCUCAGCCCAAGUCACAGAGACGUCAGUGGCAACCACAGUCCAACUGAGCAGUUCAUCACCAUCAAGCCCUGAGGUUACCAGCUCUGCUUCAGCUUCUACUACUGGGGGCACCAGCUUUUCAUCUGCGGCAGCAACAACUGGACGCACCUCAGCCCAAGUCACAGAGAUGUCAGAGGCAACCACAGUUCAACAGAGCAGUUCAUCACCAUCAAGCCCUGAGGUUACCAGCUCGGUGCCGGUCAGCACUCAGAGCUCUGGCUCGCCCUCCACCCUGAUGACAACUGGCCCGCGAGAGACCACCUCUUCCCCAGUUGCCACGCAGACGACUGGCAAGGCAACUGCAACAACAGGUUUCGUCUCCACAAGUUCAACUUCACAGGUGACCACUUCUUCAUCUGCAUCCACGGCGUCCACCAGUGUUGAAUCUGCGGCAGCAAUAACUGGACCCACCUCAGCCCAAGUCACAGAGACGUCAGUGGCAACCACAGUUCAACUGAGCAGUUCAUCACCAUCAAGCCCUGAGGUUACCAACUCUGCAUCUGCUUCUACUACUGGGGGGACCAGCUUUUCAUCUGCGGCAGCAACAACUGGACGCACCUCAGCCCAACUCACAGAGACGUCAGAGGCUUCCACAGUCCAACUGAGCAGUUCAUCACCAUCAAGCCAUGAGGUUCCCAUCUCUGCUUCGGCUUCCACUACUGGGGGCACCAGUGUUUCAUCUGCGGAAACAACGACUGGACGCACCUCAGCCCAAGUCACAAAGACGUCAGAGGCAACCACAGUCCAACUGAGCAGUUCAUCACCAUCAAGCCCUGAGGUUACCAGCUCGGUGCCGGUCAGCACUCAGAGCUCUGGCUCGCCCUCCACCCUGAUGACAACUGGCCCGCGAGAGACCACCUCUUCCCCAGUCGCCACUCAGACGACUGCCAAGGCAACUGCAACAACAGGUUUCGUCUCCACAAGUUCAACUUCACAGGUGACCACUUCUUCAUCUGCAUCCACGGCGUCCACCAGUGUUGAAUCUGCAGCAGCAAUAACUGGACGCACCUCAGCCCAAGUCACAAAGAAGUCAGAGGCAACCACAGUCCAACUGAGCAGUUCAUCACCAUCAAGCCCUGAGGUUCCCAGCUCUGCUUCUGCUUCUACUACUGGGGGCACCAGUGUUUCAUCUGCGGCAACAACGACUGGACGCACCUCAGCCCAAGUCACAGAGACGUCAGAGGCUUCCACAGUCCAACUGAGCAGUUCAUCACCAUCAAGCCCUGAGGUUACCAGCUCUGCUUCAGCUUCUACUACUGGGGGCACCAGCUUUUCAUCUGCGGCAGCAACAACUGGACGCACCUCAGCCCAAGUCACAGAGACGUCAGAGGCUUCCACAGUCCAACUGAGCAGUUCAUCACCAUCAAGCCCUGAGGUUACCAGCUCUGCUUCAGCUUCUACUACUGGGGGCACCAGCUUUUCAUCUGCGGCAGCAACAACUGGACGCACCUCAGCCCAAGUCACAGAGACGUCAGAGGCAACCACAGUUCAACAGAGCAGUUCAUCACCAUCAAGCCCUGAGGUUACCAGCUCGGUGCCGGUCAGCACUCAGACCUCUGGCUCGCCCUUCACCCUGAUGACAACUGGCCCGCGAGAGACCACCUCUUCCCCAGUCGCCACGCAGACGACUGUUAAGGCAACUGCAACAACAGGUUUCGUCUCCACAAGUUCAACUUCACAGGUGACCACUGCUUCGGCAGAGUCCACGGCGUCCACAGGUGUUUCAUCCGUAUCAUCAAUAACUGGACGCACCUCAGCCCAAGUCACAGAGACGUCAGAGGCCACCAC